CUCCUUUGAUGGGUUCAUAAGCCUGAUGACUGGGUCUCCAUGACCUCGCAUGCAGUUUGCUUCCCAGCAGCCUUGUGACAUCAGCACGCUGUUCGUCUGAAG